AAUCCUACGGGAGGCAGCAGUAGGGAAUCUUCCACAAUGGACGAAAGUCUGAUGGAGCAACGCCGCGUGAGUGAAGAAGGGUUUCGGCUCGUAAAGCUCUGUUGGUAGGGAAGAAAGAUAGAGGGAGCAACUGGCCUUUAUUUGACGGUAAUUACUUAGAAAGUCACGGCUAACUACGUGCCAGCAGCCGCGGGAAUACGUAGGUGGCAAGCGUUGUCCGGAUUUAUUGGGCGUAAAGCGAGUGCAGGCGGUUCAAUGAGGUUGAUGUGAAAGCCUUUGGGCCCACACGAG
rnacentral:rRNA from 1 species